rnacentral:rRNA from 1 species
AUUGAACGCUGGCGGCAGGCCUAACACAUGCAAGUCGAGCGGAUGAAGGGAGCUUGCUCCUGGAUUCAGCGGCGGACGGGCGAGUAAUGCCUAGGAAUCUGCCUGGUAGUGGGGGAUAACGUCCGGAAACGGGCGCUAAUACCGCAUACGUCCUGAGGGUGAAAGUGGGGGAUCUUCGGACCUCACGCUAUCAGAUGAGCCUAGGUCGGAUUAGCUAGUUGGUGGGGUAAAGGCCUACCAAGGCGACGAUCCGUAACUGGUCUGAGAGGAUGAUCAGUCACACUGGAACUGAGACACGGUCCAGACUCCUACGGGAGGCAGCAGUGGGGAAUCUUGGACAAUGGGCGAAAGCCUGAUCCAGCCAUGCCGCGUGUGUGAAGAAGGUCUUCGGAUUGUAAAGCACUUUAAGUUGGGAGGAAGGGCAGUAAGUUAAUACCUUGCUGUUUUGACGUUACCAACAGAAUAAGCACCGGCUAACUUCGUG